GAUGAACGCUAGCUACAGGCUUAACACAUGCAAGUCGAGGGGCAGCAUGGUCUUAGCUUGCUAAGGCCGAUGGCGACCGGCGCACGGGUGAGUAACACGUAUCCAACCUGCCGUCUACUCUUGGCCAGCCUUCUGAAAGGAAGAUUAAUACAAGAUGGCAUCAUGAGUUCACAUGUUCACAUUAUUAAAGGUAUUCCGGUAGACGAUGGGGAUGCGUUCCAUUAGAUAGUAGGCGGGGUAACGGCCCACCUAGUCUUCGAUGGAUAGGGGUUCUGAGAGGAAGGUCCCCCACAUUGGAACUGAGACACGGUCCAAACGCCUACGGGAGGCAGCAGUGAGGAAGAUUGGUCAAUGAGCGAGAGCCUGAACCAGCCAAGUAGCGUGAAGGAUGACUGCCCUAUGGGUUGUAAACUUCUUUUAAAAAGGAAUAAAGUAGGGUAUGUAUACCCGUUUGCAUGUACUUUAUGAAUAAGGAUCGGCUAACUCCGUG
rnacentral:rRNA from 1 species